rnacentral:rRNA from 1 species
UACGUAGGGGGCAAGCGUUGUCCGGAAUUAUUGGGCGUAAAGAGCGCGUAGGCGGUCCGAUAAGUCGGGUGUGAAAUCCCAGGGCUCAACCCUGGAACUGCAUUCGAUACUGCGUCGCUGGAGGACUGGAGAGGAGACUGGAAUUCACGGUGUAGCAGUGAAAUGCGUAGAUAUCGUGAGGAAGGCCAGUGGCGAAGGCGAGUCUCUGGACAGUUCCUGACGCUGAGGCACGAAGGCCAGGGGAGCAAACGGG